CCGUAUUACGUUGAAUCAACAGUUCCCAUACAAUCACCUAAAUUAAGCAACGUCAAGCCUGGUCAGUACUUAGAUGGGUGACCGCUUGGGAAUACCAUGUACUGUAC